AAAUGGAAGGGAGAAAAAGACAGCAGCAAACGUGGACAGGUUUGUGGGCUUUGUGGCAGGCAAGUGAGCGCGUUGCCUCUGAUGAUUUUCAUUUCUCUCAGGCUGAGGUGAGGUCAACUGUUCUGUGUGUGGGAGCCAGAGAAGAAAGCAGCACAGAACAAAUGCAAACCAAGGAGGCUGGAAGAUAAGAGCAGAGCCAUCAGGACCCAAGCCCCUCGGGGGUAUGAAACAGGAGUCCUGGGAGCAAAUUAGUAGGUGCACUCUAUGGAGGGACGGAAGGGGCAGGGAGGAGCAUCUGAAUGUAAGAUUUCAGAGAAGCUCAUUUUGUCAGCGUUUCAGAGCUUCCUGUGUGCAGCAUGGAUCUAAAGCUGGUGGAUGCAGGGGGGUGAACAAGACAACAUCUUCACUUCCUGCAUGCUGAUGGCGGAAGUGAGACAUCAGCGAAGAAACAUCACGAUCACCAAAUUAUGAUGAACACCAUGGAGAAAACAAAGGACACUGUGACACCAAGGAAGGAAGGGAAGUUACUUUUCAUAGUGGCUGUAAAUAGAAAUGAAGGCUGAAAAAGAGCUGUUAAAAUGGCUUGUUUGAAGAUGAAUGAGAGUAUAUAAUAAAAGAGAAGAGACGGAAAGGAGGGGGAGUCAGGAACGCAGGCGAAGCGCAUCUGCCCGGUUCUGGUGAGACCAGCCCGACAACUGUCAAGUCAUCACUGCUUAAUAACACCUGCUGGAAGGACAAAGGAAAGAGCUGCUGGCACCGAGUCACAUGUCCACACAAACCACAGAGCAGGCCGUAGAUGCCAACCCCUUCCCCUUCCCACCCUGUGCCUGUUCUUCAUGUUAAUCUAUUACUCUAAUCAUUUAUUCAUUGUGUAGCAAAUGAUCAUCUUCCUAUCAUUUGUUUAUUACUAUUUUUACUUUCAUUAUCACAUUAGAUUUUCACACAUGGGAGCAUAUGGGGGACAUAUUUGUUUAUUAGUUUAUAACCUAAAAUGAAUAUUUUAUACAGGAACAUUUUAAACAGAGGCAGAAAAACCCUUAACCCAAUUUUAUCUUAUGCUAAAAUUUCAUUAUCACCAAUUCUCAGGCCUCUAAGCACUGUGCAAACAAUCCUCGAGGAAUGGGUGUUAUCAAUUAUUAAUAACUAUUAAAUUAGCAUGGAGUUUGAUUUUCCCCUAAGAAUGUUUCGUAACUGCAGAGCAGAGAAAGAGCCUCUGCUCCCUUCCAGGUCUCCUGUUCAAACAAACCUGAACCCGGCCCAGGCACCCAGGCAUCUUGGAGUGACCAGCAGUGAGCCCACGGCUGUGCCUCUGCCCUGCAGGGCACUCCGGGCCUGGACAUCCUCCGGGGUAGAAGGAUGAACCCUUCUCCUGGGGAAUUUCUGGCAGGUGCAUGUGAUCUUGAUAUUCUCUGCAAGUGGCAGAAGGAGCUUGUCCCCCUCACCAUCUGUUAUGGGCUGAAUUCUGUCCCUCCAAGAUUCAAAUGUUGAAACCCUAACCUCCAGACAUCCAGAAUGUGACUGCAUUUGGAAACAGGGCCUUUAAAGGUGACUAAAUUAAAAUGGACUGGUCCUUACUUCAAUAUGACUGCUGUCCUUAUAGGAAAAAAUUUGGACACAGACACACACAGAGGGAUGACCACGUGGAGACGCAGGGAGAGGAUAGCAGCUACAGGCCAGGGCGAGAGGCUUCAGAGGAAACCAGCCCUGCUGACUCUUUGAAGUCGGACUCCCAGCCUCCAGAACUGUGAGAAAAUACAUUUCUGUUUUAA